CAGGGAGCCAUCCUGGUCCCACGAGCUGAUCAGCGUCUGUAAAUAUUGAGAUUUGAUAAAGUGAGCGGUGCUCCGGCAGCAGAUGGCUGGGGAUGGUCUGUUGACACCGCUGCGAUGACUCGCGCAUGAAGAUUUUCCUCCCCGGGCCUCCUCUGGGAGCCGCGGGAGGACCCAGGCCCCUCUGUAGCUAUUUGCCUCCUAAUUGAAAAUCCUUAUUCCCAGAUGGAGCCAAAUGUGCUGCUCCAGGCAUCGCUCGUGCUGCCUGACUGUUGAUACACGGAGCAGUUAAAGCAGAUGUGCUGUCUGCACCUUCCGUGUGGGGCGUGGAGCUGAAAGCUGCUCCCUCGAAACAGCAUACAGAAGGAGACCUGAAGGGAGCAAAACUGUUGGCCUCACCUGAUAUCAACCACAGACGGUUUCAGAUAGAGAGGGAGGCAUGGUUAUUUACAUCAAGAGCUUGGCCUUCCUCCCCGUCCCCAUUUUUCACCAACCAUGGAAACGAUUUGAGAGCCAGCCUUUGGGACAAGCCACUUUUCUGAAAUAAGGGGCCCCAGAAAGAGGCUCCCCUGAGCUCACAUUUUCCCAGCAGAGCUGCUUCUGGAACAUGCCGGAGAUGCUGGCAGGCAGCAAAAACACAGAGCUUUGGACUUCUCACUGGCAGAAAUCCCGGAAGAAACAGCCAUGCUGAGACUCCUGUCUGUCUGGUCAUCAUGAGUUUGAGGCUUCCGCCAACUCCUUCGCCCAAAUAUUCCGUAACCUUUAAGUCAAGUGCUGUCUUCUGAAUGUCUGUGUGCCCCCAAAUGCACAUGCUGAAACCUAGCCCCCAGUGGGACAGUAUUGGGAGGUGGGGCCUCUGGGAGGUGGACAUGUCCUGAGGGUGGAGCCCUCACAAUGGGAUUACUGCCUUAGAAAGAGAUCCCUCGCCCUUCUGCAACCCCAAAGAAGUCCUCACCAGAAGCCAACCACGGUGACACCCCGAUCUCGGACUUUCAGCCUCCAGAGCCGUGAAAAGGAAAUUUCUGUUUUUACAAGCCACCCAGUCUGUGGUGUUCUGUUAGAGCAGCCCAAACGGACUAAGACAUCAAGUAAAACUAAUUUUGUCCUAAUACAUUUCUCAUAUCCCCUGAGGUCCCUGGAGAGGAUGUGGCAGAAGGCGAGGUUUGGGACCCACCAAAUCAGGUUUGAAAAUCACAUCUAAGCGAUACAGGGAGCUCAGCAACACGCAGCUAACGUUUGUUUGUGUCGUUUUUCAAGCAACAUUUUCCACUUAGGUUAAAAAGAAAAAAGACAGUUUCAUUGUAGAAAACUUGGAAGUUCUAAAAAGCACAAAGAGACAAAUAGAAUUAUUCAAAAUUCCAUCAUCUGCAUAUAAUUUUGCUUUUUCUCUAGGUAGGCGGGUGAUGAUUUGGGAUCCAGCAUUGAUCACUUAGUCUUGCACCUUUUUGUUGCUAUUUGUU
rnacentral:lncRNA from 1 species